AUUGAACGCUGGCGGCAUGCUUUACACAUGCAAGUCGAGCGGCAGCACGGGGGCAACCCUGGUGGCGAGCGGCGGACGGGUGAGUAAUACAUCGGAACAUGCCCAGUCGUGGGGGAUAACACUUCGAAAGAAGUGCUAAUACCGCAUACGUCCUGAGGGGGAAAGCGGGGGAUCGCAAGAGAUCGCGCGAUUGGAGUGGCCGAUGUCAGAUUAGCUAGUUGGUGGGGUAAAGGCCUACCUAGGCAACGAUCUGUAGCUGGUCUGAGAGGAUGAUCAGCCACACUGGGACUGAGACACGGCCCAGACUCCUACGGGAGGCAGCAGUGGGGAAUUUUGGACAAUGGGGGCAAGCCUGAUCCAGCAAUGCCGCGUGAGUGAAGAAGGCCUUCGGGUUGUAAAGCUCUUUCGGCAGGAACGAAACGGUGAGCUCUAACAUAGCUUGCUAAUGACGGUACCUGAAGAAGAAGCACCGGCUAACUACGUG
rnacentral:rRNA from 1 species